UAUCUUCUGUGGUGUACGUGUAUAGACUGGCAAAACUUGAGCCUAUUUUAAUUGCCAGGGAGCUAAACCGUGAUGUUGUGUGCAUACCUGGUUUACCGGGGAGCCUGAUACAUCACCUGCUGUUCCCACUUGAACAACAUGGUUCAAGUUAAGAUGUCUUUACGGCGCCACGGUUGAUAC
rnacentral:other from 1 species